rnacentral:tRNA from 1 species
GGGGGUGUAGCUCAGUUGGGAGAGCGCCUGCCUUGCAAGCAGAGUCAGGAGUUCGAAUCUCCUCAUCUCCACCA